UCAUGCCAAUCAGACUAGUUCUACAGACAUUGCUUUGAGGUAGAAACCCAUUGAUGAGCCAAAAGACAGACCUUUUUCUUCUUUUGAGAACAGAACUUCCCACUCAAUCUGCUUGAAAGGAAAUAAGUCACUCUGAGUCAUGGUUACCUGUCAGCCAGGAACAGAGUAGCACCAGAGAGGGUGGUGGCGGGAGUUUGAGCAACGCCUUGCGGGAGUUUGAGCAACGCUUUCAGAUUUUUGGUGAACUGGAGAAAGACUUUUUGCUCGCCAUUCACCAUGAAUGCCUCUGAUCUGCUCGUCAACAUCCAACUUGAAAUAAUAGACAUGCAGUGUGACUCAGAUUUGAAGGGGAAAUUUGCUGCAGCUGGCUUGGACACAUUUUAUCAGUAUCUAUUGCCAGGUUACCCCAACUUGACAUCUCUUGCUGCAAAAGUGUUGUGCAUGUUUGGAACCACAUAUCUUUGUGAGCAGGUUUUCUCUGCAAUGAGCAUCAAUAAAACAAAGCUUCGCUCAAGGCUCACGCACAAGCACUCGAAUAACAUCCUGAAAUUGGCUGCCACUCAGGAUGUGACACCUGUGAAAGCUAAAAGAUCCCAGGUUUCAGGAGCAAAAUAAACAAUAGAUGACCCCACUUAAAAUGCUGCAUGAGACACUGCAUCCUGAUAUAGUUCUGUGAAAAUGAUUGUCUUCUGUGGAAAUGUAAAGAAAGUGAACAGUGUGUGAUAAUAUCAGUCACUUCAGUUCAUAAGUUUGGUUGGUUGAAAUUGUUCAUGCAUUGCACAGCUUUUAUUUUUCUAUCAAUUAAUAGUGUAGCCUACAAGGUAGGGAGUAACUCAACCUUCUUGAAUAGUUUCUACCUCAGUUUGUAUGGUUUGUUCAGUUAGCACACAAUUAAUAUGUGGAAAUGACAAAUGAGGUAUUUGAUACAUAGAAGAGUUGUUUUAUUUAUUUAUUUUUAUUUAUUUUGUAUUUUGUUCAAUCCCAGAUAGGCUGUGACUUAAAGUUGAAUGGCUUUGUAAAUACACUGAGACAAAGUCUAAGUUCCAAUCACUGAGGCAUUGUGUUCUUAAAAUUGCACCAAUUUUUUCCGCAGAAUUUUCAACUGUGUGUUUUGUCAAGAGGAUUAUUUGUGAUGUGUACAUUUUCAGAAUGUGCUUGUUCUAUUUUGGACCAAAGUAAAACAAAGAAAACAA